GAUGAACGCUGGCGGCGUGCCUAAUACAUGCAAGUCGAGCGAACGGACGAGAAGCUUGCUUCUCUGAUGUUAGCGGCGGACGGGUGAGUAACACGUGGAUAACCUACCUAUAAGACUGGGAUACCUUCGGGAAACCGUAGCUAAUACCGGAUAAUAUUUUGAACCGCAUGGUUCAAAAAUGAAAGACGGUCUUGCUGUCACUUAUAGAUGGAUCCGCGCUGCAUUAGCUAGUUGGUAAGGUAACGGCUUACCAAGGCAACGAUGCAUAGCCGACCUGAGAGGGUGAUCGGCCACACUGGAACUGAGACACGGUCCAGACUCCUACGGGAGGCAGCAGUAGGGAAUCUUCCGCAAAGGGCGAAAGCCUGACGGAGCAACGCCGCGUGAGUGAUGAAGGUCUUCGGAUCGUAAAACUCUGUUAUUAGGGAAGAACAUAUGUGUAAGUAACUGUGCACAUCUUGACGGUACCUAAUCAGAAAGCCACGGCUAACUACGUG
rnacentral:rRNA from 1 species